UGGGGAAUAUUGCACAAUGGAGGGAACUCUGAUGCAGCGACGCCGCGUGAACGAAGAAGGCUUUCGAGUCGUAAAGUUCUUUUAUAUGGGAAGAUAAUGACGGUACCAUAAGAAAAAGCCCCGGCUAACUACGUGCCAGCAGCCGCGGUAAUACGUAGGGGGCAAGCGUUGUCCGGAAUUAUUGGGCGUAAAGCGCGCGCAGGUGGUUUAGAAAGUCUGAUGUGAAAGCCCACGGCUCAACCGUGGAGGGUCAUUGGAAACUAAUAAACUUGAGUGCAGGAGAGAAAAGUGGAAUUCCUAGUGUAGCGGUGAAAUGCGUAGAGAUUAGGAGGAACACCGGUGGCGAAAGCGGCUUUUUGGCCUGCAACUGACACUGAGGCGCGAAAGCGUGGGGAGCAAACAGG
rnacentral:rRNA from 1 species